UACGUAGGGGGCAAGCGUUGUCCGGAUUUACUGGGCGUAAAGCGCGUGUAGGCGGCUCGGUAAGUCUGCUGUGAAAGUCCAGGGCUCAACCCUGGGAUGCCGGUGGAUACUGUCGAGCUCGAGUCCGGAAGAGGCGAGUGGAAUUCCUGGUGUAGCGGUGAAAUGCGCAGAUAUCAGGAGGAACACCAAUGGCGAAGGCAGCUCGCUGGGACG
rnacentral:rRNA from 1 species